UACAGAGGUCCCAAGCGUUGUUCGGAUUUACUGGGCGUAAAGGGUGCGUAGGUGGCGGGGUAAGUCGGAUGUGAAAUCUCCGAGCUCAACUCGGAAACUGCAUUGGAAACUACUCUGCUCGAGGGUUGGAGGGGGGACUGGAAUACUUGGUGUAGCAGUGAAAUGCGUAGAUAUCAAGUGGAACACCAGUGGCGAAGGCGAGUCCCUGGACAACUCCUGACACUGAGGCACGAAAGCUAGGGGAGCAAACAGG
rnacentral:rRNA from 1 species